CUGUGAACGUCACUUCCAGAAGGUCCUCAACAAAAGCUUGUUCACAGGCCUGCGUUCCAUCACCCACUUUGGACGACCACCUUUUGUGCCCUUUUUCUGCUCCUUGCAAGAGGUCCAUCCUGAGGUACGGAAAAUUGGUGUUUUCAGCUGUGGCCCACCGGGCAUGACAAAGAAUGUGGAGAAAGCAUGCCAAAAAAUCAACAAGCGGGAUCAAACUCAUUUUAUCCAUCACUAUGAGAAUUUUUAGUCAUUCUCUUCCGAAGACUCGAUUGUGUUUCGCGGGUAUAUAAGUAGAGGUUCACCAUUGGCUGCGUUCCUCUCUUUCUCUCGAAAGGGAAGGAGAAAGAAACAGCCUUAUUUUCAACAGGGACUUGGACGAAAUAUUUUAGAUGUUCAGAAAGCCAUACUUUUUGUCCUGUCCAGAACUUCAAUUGAGGUCUCACAGUUGACAAAGAUAAUCAAGGGCCCAUCCUUGGUCAGCCCCCACAGGUCUCACAUUUGCACCUCCUGUAAGAAAAGUCUGGACAACUAGAAAACAGAGUGAUAUGAUAUCAUUGAGACUAAGGCAGCCCUUUCGUUACAAGUGCAAACUUGUUCAGAUUUAACAGGUAACUAAACCUCCUAGAUUAUAGCUUUGUAACACUCCCUGUCAAUUAUUUAUUCAACAAUCCGUAAUUCACUC